AACGAACGCUGGCGGCAUGCCUAACACAUGCAAGUCGAACGAAGCCUUCGGGCUUAGUGGCGCACGGGUGCGUAACGCGUGGGAAUCUGCCCUUUGGUUCGGAAUAACAGUUGGAAACGACUGCUAAUACCGGAUGAUGACGAAAGUCCAAAGAUUUAUCGCCAGAGGAUGAGCCCGCGUAGGAUUAGCUAGUUGGUGUGGUAAAGGCGCACCAAGGCGACGAUCCUUAGCUGGUCUGAGAGGAUGAUCAGCCACACUGGGACUGAGACACGGCCCAGACUCCUACGGGAGGCAGCAGUGGGGAAUAUUGGACAAUGGGCGAAAGCCUGAUCCAGCCAUGCCGCGUGAGUGAAGAAGGCCUUAGGGUUGUAAAGCUCUUUUGGCGGGGACGAUAAUGACGGUACCCGCAGAAUAAGCCCCGGCUAACUUCGUGCCAGCCGCCGCCGUAACAC
rnacentral:rRNA from 1 species